CAAAGCGCCGCGCAAAUCGUCCAGGGGGGACGGGGAGGCCGCGAGAGAGGCCUAGCGCCGGAUUUACGGCGCAGCGGGAGGCCGUGCGGCAAAUCUUGGAAGCAAACAAGGCCGCUGCGAAGCUCCACCCCCGGCCUCGCUCUAGAUUUACGCCGGAUGAAGUUGCAAAGCAUUUUACUGUGGUUUGUGAGUGCGCACCAGGGCCUGUUAAUUAAAAAUGUCUCUCGCACGGCAGUGGAUUCGCGGGAGAGAGAGAGGCUAAAAAGGAAGUCUCUGGCAAUUUCCAGCUCAGCCGCAGUCAAGCAGAAGCGCGGAGGACCCUAGAAACUUGUGCGUCGAUGCCAUGAGAGAGGAAGGCGAAUCAAUCUAGCGGGAAGUUCUCCUGCGCAUAGCAGCCAACUCCUACGAGCCGAGGGGACCCCCAAUAAAAUAUUUGAGGGCCCCCCCCAAAAAAGUUGAUGGGCAUUGCCAAUAAAAUAGUGUGCACCAUGUCAUGCGAUCGAUUAUGCUGGUUUACCUGGCCCC
rnacentral:lncRNA from 1 species